GAUGAACGCUAGCGGCAGGCUUAACACAUGCAAGUCGAGGGGGCAGCAUGACACGGAGAUUCGUCGAAGUGUUGAUGGCGACCGGCGCAAGGGUGCGUAACGCGUGAGCAACUUGCCCGUUUCUGGGGCAUAACCGGUGGAAACGCCGACUAAUACCCCAUAGUAUUGGAUUUAGGCAUCUUUAUCCAAUUAAAGAAAUUCGGAAACGGAUAGGCUCGCGUGACAUUAGCUAGAUGGCGGGGUAACGGCCCACCAUGGCGACGAUGUCUAGGGGUUCUGAGAGGAAGGUCCCCCACACUGGAACUGAGACACGGUCCAGACUCCUACGGGAGGCAGCAGUGAGGAAUAUUGGUCAAUGGUCGGAAGACUGAACCAGCCAUGCCGCGUGAAGGUCACGGCCCUAUGGGUCUUAAACUUCUUUUGUAAGGGUAGCGAAUAAGGUUCACGUGUGGACUGAUGAGAGUACCUUACGAAUAAGCAUCGGCUAACUCCGUGCCAGCAGCCG
rnacentral:rRNA from 1 species